UGCGGUGCUGCCAACGGUGAAACCCC
rnacentral:piRNA from 1 species